GGAGGGGUCGCAUAGUGGCCUAGUGCGGGCGCCUGCUAAGCGCUUACUCCGUUGACUCGGGGUCGUGGGUUCGAAUCCCACCCCCUCCGCCA
rnacentral:tRNA from 1 species